rfam:Triticum aestivum genome assembly, contig: Triticum_aestivum_CS42_TGACv1_scaffold_050026_1BS
CAAGUACUCCCUCUGUCUGAAAAUACUUGUUAUUAAAAUAGACAAAAAAGAAUGUAUCUAGAACUAAAAUACAUCUAGAUACAUCUCUUUUAUUUAUUUUGAUGGCAAGUAUUUUCGAACGAAGGGAGUAUUAU